UUGACAAGACAAAUGAUACCUAAUAAAAACCUAUAAAUAAUUUAUUUUUGCCACAAGAGAAUAAAACUCUACGCUUAAUUAAAGCUGGUAACUUGUUCUUGUUUCUGAUUCCAUCAACAAUAUAAAAAUAAACCAACAAUCCUGAAAACAAAACAAUUUAAUUAUCCACCUUGUAAAAACAAAAUUAACCAAACCGAAUGUAAAAUGAAAGUUACUAACUUGUAGCUUUAUUUACAUAACCGGUGAGGCGAAAGUUGUUCAGAAAACUCCGCCUGCGAUGGAAGGCAGGUCAUCAAAGCUCCAAAGGUUCAUUGUGUUUCCAGCAUCCUGAGUUACAU
rnacentral:lncRNA from 1 species